CAGUCGAGCGCCCCUCCUUCCAGCGAGCUUGGAGGAUUGCGGAGCGGUCUCCUGGGCGGGCGAAAGCUCGCUUGAAGGACAUCGUUUUGAGAUCAAGCGAGCCUUUAGGGGCUCGCUUGAUGGAGGGGAGCGGCAGACGGGAGAGUAACACGUGGGAACGUACCCUUUGGCUCGGAACAACCCAGGGAAACUUGGGCUAAUACCGAAUAAGCCCUUACGGGGAAAGAUUUAUCGCCGAAGGAUCGGCCCGCGUCUGAUUAGCUAGUUGGUGAGGUAACGGCUCACCAAGGCGACGAUCAGUAGCUGGUCUGAGAGGAUGAUCAGCCUCACUGGGACUGAGACACGGCCCAGACUCCUACGGGAGGCAGCAGUGGGGAAUAUUGGACAAUGGGCGCAAGCCUGAUCCAGCCAUGCCGCGUGGGUGAUGAAGGCCCUAGGGUUGUAAAGCCCUUUCGGCGGGGAAGAUAAUGACGGUACCCGCAGAAGAAGCCCCGGCUAACUUCGUGCCAGCAGCCGCGGUAAUACGAAGGGGGCUAGCGUUGCUCGGAAUCACUGGGCGUAAAGCGCACGUAGGCGGAUUGCUAAGUCAGGGGUGAAAUCCUGGAGCUCAACUCCAGAACUGCCUUUGAUACUGGUGAUCUUGAGUCCGGGAGAGGUGAGUGGAACUGCGAGUGUAGAGGUGAAAUUCGUAGAUAUUCGCAAGAACACCAGUGGCGAAGGCGGCUCACUGGCCCGGUACUGACGCUGAGUGCGAAAGCGUGGGGAGCAACAGGAUUAGAUACCCUGGUGUCCACGCCGUAAACGAUGGAUGCUAGCCGUUGGUGGGUUUACCCUUCAGUGGCGCAGCUAACGCAUU
rnacentral:rRNA from 1 species